AGCAACCAAACGGAGCUCUAGCGGCGGUACUGGUGCUUGUCUGUGUUGGUUAACUGGACGUGUUUGUCGGUGGUGGCGCUCCAGUCUCGGUUCUGGCUCUGGACUCUGAUUGCUGUUGGCUGGCGGCGGUUUGCUUGCUUGCUUGCGUUCGUUCGUCGAAAUGGCAAUGUUGGCAUUCUUGCUUUGAAUGUCAAACAGUGCGGUUGUCUCUUUUCGGUACUCGUAGUUUAACACGAAGAAAGAAUUUUUCAUUUACAUAAAUUACAGUACUUAAAAACGCAUUCUAAGCGAAUCAAAAAAAAAGUUUUGUACUGAGCAAAGACUGUUCGACGUUUCGUAUAACGAUUGAUUGCGUAGCUACGCCGCGUAAACGUUUGCAUAGCUUAGUUUGGAACAUUCUGGAACAGUUUGAAAAGCAUUUGAAAACUCGCGGCAGUGCUUUUCAAAACUUAAUACAUACAUACUUACAUACGUACUUAAGUAAAACGCGACAUCGUAUCUAAUAACGGAAUUGCAUAAGUCGCUUAAGGCUCGUGAAACAUAAUU